ACUGGAGCAAUGACUCAGCUCACAGUUCUACCCUAUAGCUAUGUUUGUGCCACUACCACCUCCUGCCUCAAAGAAACUCUUGCCAGGGUGAUUUACCAAGGAUAAAGAUGUCUAAUUUAAGUUGGACCAACCCAAUUCUCUUUCUUGGAAAUUUGAAACUAGAAGAGAGCCACAUGGAGAAUGAAGGUCUUAUUUCAACUGUUGUUCAGGAAUGAUCCAAACAAAUUCAGAAGCAGAUUUAAAUGUUAUAGGAUGGGCUGCUGUUGACCUCGCUGCUGACCUUGCUGCUGACCUCACUGCUGACCUUGCUGCUGACUUCACCGUUUCUCCCAAUAUAUGUCAGCUGAGUGGACUUUUGGCUGCCGGACAUGAAGAAAUCAUAUAAUCAAUUAAGCAAUCAAUCAACAAAUAUAUAGUGGACUUCUGCAAUUUGCAAGGCUCUGUGGCAAAUUGUACAAGAAGUGCAUUUUGCCUCCUGCCAUGAUUCUGAGGCCUCCCCAGCCCUGUGAAACUCAACUAUGUAAGAAGUCUGGCUGCCAUGAUGCCACCAUGCUGGAGGGACCACAUGGACAUACCAUGAAGAUAUAUAGAGAAAUGCUUUAGAAACCUCAGCUGUUCCGUCUUUCAGCUAUUUGAGUCUUCCUAGGCCAAGGGCCAGAUAUAUAAACAAAGAAGACUUGAUGGUGACUCCAGCCUUAGUCAACGUCUAACUGCAACCACGUGAGAGACUUUCAACCAGAACUAUGCAGUGGAGCUGCUUCUGAACUCCUGACCCAUAGAAACCAUGAAUGAUAAUAAAUGAUUGCUGUUUUCCUUAAAUGUUUGGUCGCAUUUCUCAGUGAAAUCAUCUGUGCCUAGAAUUUUCUUUCUAGAAAAGUUUCAAACUCCAAAUUCAAUUCUUA
rnacentral:lncRNA from 10 species